CCUACGGGUGGCAGCAGUGGGGAAUAUUGGACAAUGGGCGAAAGCCUGAUCCAGCCAUGCCGCGUGUGUGAAGAAGGCCUUCGGGUUGUAAAGCACUUUCAGUGGGGAAGAAAGCCUUGGGGCUAAUACCCUCGAGGAAGGACAUCACCCACAGAAGAAGCACCGGCUAACUCCGUGCCAGCAGCCGCGGUAAUACGGAGGGUGCGAGCGUUAAUCGGAAUUACUGGGCGUAAAGCGCGCGUAGGCGGUCUGAUAAGCCGGUUGUGAAAGCCCCGGGCUCAACCUGGGAACGGCAUCCGGAACUGUCAGGCUAGAGUGCAAGAGAGGAAGGUAGAAUUCCCGGUGUAGCGGUGAAAUGCGUAGAGAUCGGGAGGAAUACCAGUGGCGAAGGCGGCCUUCUGGACUGACACUGACGCUGAGGUGCGAAAGCGUGGGUAGCAAACAGGAUUAGAUACCCCUGUAGUC
rnacentral:rRNA from 1 species